rnacentral:rRNA from 1 species
GGGAACCGUUUCCGGAUUAUUGGGCGUAAGAGCUCGUAGGCGGUUUGUCGCGUCUGCCGUGAAAGUCCGGGGCUCAACUCCGGAUCUGCGGUGGGUACGGGCAGACUAGAGUGAUGUAGGGGAGACUGGAAUUCCUGGUGUAGCGGUGAAAUGCGCAGAUAUCAGGAGGAACACCGAUGGCGAAGGCAGGUCUCUGGGCAUUAACUGACGCUGAGGAGCGAAAGCAUGGGGAGCGAACAGGAUUAGAUACCCUGGUAGUCCAUGCCGUAAACGUUGGGCACUAGGUGUGGGGGACAUUCCACGUUUUCCGCGCCGUAGCUAACGCAUUAAGUGCCCCGCCUGGGGAGUACGGCCGCAAGGCUAAAACUCAAAGGAAUUGACGGGGGCCCGCACAAGCGGCGGAGCAUGCGGAUUAAUUCGAUGCAACGCGAAGAACCUUACCAAGGCUUGACAUGGGCCGGACCGGGCUGGAAACAGUCCUUCCCCUUUGGGGCCGGUUCACAGGUGGUGCAUGGUUGUCGUCAGCUCGUGUCGUGAGAUGUUGGGUUAAGUCCCGCAACGAGCGCAACCCUCGUUCCAUGUUGCCAGCGCGUAAUGGCGGGGACUCAUGGGAGACUGCCGGGGUCAACUCGGAGGAAGGUGGGGACGACGUCAAAUCAUCAUGCCCCUUAUGUCUUGGGCUUCACGCAUGCUACAAUGGCCGGUACAAAGGGUUGCGAUACUGUGAGGUGGAGCUAAUCCCAAAAAGCCGGUCUCAGUUCGGAUUGGGGUCUGCAACUCGACCCCAUGAAGUCGGAGUCGCUAGUAAUCGCAGUCAGCAUACUGCAGUGAAUCCGUUCCCGGGCCUUGUACACACCGCCCGUCACACCAUGGAAAGCUGGCCACGCCCGAAGUCGUUACCCUAACCUGAAAGGGAGGGGACGCCGAAGCAGGGCUGGUGACUGGGUGAAGUCGUAACAAGGUAACC